GAUGAACUGUGGGUAGCGGAGAAAUUCCAAUCGAACCCGGAGAUAGCUGGUUCUCUCCGAAAUAGCUUUAGGGCUAGCCUUGAAAUAGAUUACCGGAGGUAAAGCACUGAAUUGGCUAGGGGCCGAGAGGUUACUGAACCUUAUCAAACUAAGAAUGCCGGAUAAUCGUUUUUCAGGAGUCAGACAGUGGGAGAUAAGUUUCAUUGUCAAAAGGGAAACAGCCCAGACCCACAGCUAAGGUCCCCAAGUAUAGUUAAGUGGAAAAGGAUGUGGAAUUGCACAGACAACCAGGAUGUUGGCUUAGAAGCAGCCACUCAUUAAAAGAGUGCGUAAUAGCUCACUGGUCGAGUGACUCUGCGCCGAAAAUUUAACGGGGCUAAACUAUACACCGAAGCUUGGGAUACAUCUAAUGUAUGGUAGGAGAGCGUUCUGUAUGGGGAGAAGUCGUAGCGAAAGCGGCGGUGGACUAUACAGAAGUGAGAAUGCCGGAAUAAGUAGCGAGAAUUAAGUGAGAAUCUUAAUGGCCGAAAGUCUAAGGUUUUUGGAGGAAGGUUCGUCCGCUCCAAGUAAGUCGGGAGCUAAGGUCAGGCCGAAAGGCGUAGCCGAUGCACAUACGGUUGAUAUUCCGUAACCAUCUGUAAUUUAAGCAAAGGGACACUUCAAAAGGGUGUGACCCGGGCGUUGGUUGACCCGGGCGUAAGGGACCGAAAUUAGAGUAGGGAAGCACACUUGGCUGAAGGCGAGAAAAGCUUUGCGUAUAGAAACAGAUGCCCGUACCGCAAACCGACACAGGUGGACAGGAAGAGAAUUCUAAGGCCAGCGGGAGAAGGGUAGUUAAGGAACUCGGCAAAUUGACUCCGUAACUUCGGAAUAAGGAGUGCUCGAAAGAGCCGCAGAGAAUAGGCCCAGGCGACUGUUUAGCAAAAACACAGGUCUCUGCCAAAUCGAAAGAUGAAGUAUAGGGGCUGACACCUGCCCGGUGCUGGAAGGUUAAGAGGAGAUGUGCAAGCAUUGAAUUGAAGCCCCAGUAAACGGCGGCCGUAACUAUAACGGUCCUAAGGUAGCGAAAUUCCUUGUCGGGUAAGUUCCGACCCGCACGAAUGGUGUAACGAUCUGGGCACUGUCUCAACUACCCACCCGGCGAAAUUGUAGUACCGGUGAAGAUGCCGGUUACCUGCGGCAAGACGGAAAGACCCCAUGGAGCUUUACUGUAGCCUGAUAUUGGGUUUCGGAAAUCUAUGUACAGGAUAGGCGGGAGACUGGGAAACAUGAGCGUCAGCUUGUGUGGAGUCGAUGUUGGGAUACCGCCCUUAGGUUUCUGGAAUUCUAACCUGCGGCCGUGAAUCCGGUCGGGGGACAUUGUCAGGUGGGCAGUUUGACUGGGGCGGUCGCCUCCGAAAAGGUAACGGAGGCGCUCAAAGGUUAGCUCAGCACGGACGGAAACCGUGCCUCUGAGUGUAAACGCAAAAGCUAGCCUAACUGCGAGGGUGACGGCCCGAGCAGUAACGAAAGUUGGAGUUAGUGAUCCGGCGGUAUGUGAAUGGAAAUGCC
rnacentral:rRNA from 1 species